rnacentral:rRNA from 1 species
AUUGAACGCUGGCGGUAGGCUUAACACAUGCAAGUCGUGCGAGAAAGUAUCUUCGGAUAUGAGUAGAGCGGCGGACGGGUGAGUAACGCGUAGGAAUCUACCUAGUAGAAGGGGAUAGCCCGGGGAAACCCGGAUUAAUACCGUAUACCUCCUUCGGGAGAAAGAAGGCCUCUCUUUGAAGCUUUCGCUAUUAGAUGAGCCUGCGUAAGAUUAGCUUGUUGGUGAGGUAAAGGCUCACCAAGGCGACGAUCUUUAGCUGGUCUGAGAGGACGAUCAGCCACAUUGGGACUGAGACACGGCCCAGACUCCUACGGGAGGCAGCAGUGGGGAAUAUUGGACAAUGGGCGCAAGCCUGAUCCAGCCAUACCGCGUGUGUGAAGAAGGCCUUCGGGUUGUAAAGCACUUUAAGCAGGGAGAAAAAGUUAUAAGUUAAUACCUUAUAACCUUGAUGUUACCUGCAGAAUAAGCACCGGCUAAUUCCGUGCCAGCAGCCGCGGUAAUACGGAAGGUGCAAGCGUUAAUCGGAAUUACUGGGCGUAAAGCGCGCGUAGGUGGUUUGUUAAGUUGGAUGUGAAAGCCCUGGGCUCAACCUAGGAACUGCAUCCAAAACUAACUCACUAGAGUACGAUAGAGGGAGGUAGAAUUCAUAGUGUAGCGGUGGAAUGCGUAGAUAUUAUGAAGAAUACCAGUGGCGAAGGCGGCCUCCUGGAUCUGUACUGACACUGAGGUGCGAAAGCGUGGGUAGCGAACAGGAUUAGAUACCCUGGUAGUCCACGCCGUAAACGAUGACAACUAGCUGUUGGAAGACAAAGUCUUUCAGUGGCGCAGCUAACGUUUUAAGUUGUCCGCCUGGGGGAGUACGGCCGCAAGGCUAAAACUCAAAUGAAUUGACGGGGACCCGCACAAGCGGUGGAGCAUGUGGGUUUAAUUCGAUGCAACGCGAAAAACCUUACCUACUCU